rnacentral:rRNA from 1 species
GUGAAUUGUAGUUGCAAGAAGUUUGAAUUUGCUGGAAUUUUGUGCCGUCAUUGCUUAAAGGUACUUGAUAUCAAUAAUAUCAAGCAUAUCCCUGAACAAUAUAUCUUGAAAAGGUGGACAAUAGAUGCCAAAGUUCUCGAGAUAACAAGCAAUCGCAAUCUACAUGAGGAUCGAAAAACAAAAAUGUCAAACUACUACAAGGAGUUGUGCAGAAUGUUUGUGAAAAUAGCUGCUCGUGCCUCUGAAUCGGACGAAACAUAUGAUAUGGUUGCUAAAUGCGCAGAGCAGCUAGCAGAAGCUGUGGAGAAACACUUGAAAAAUAGAACUGAUCCUGAUCCUGAUCCUGAUAUGGGAAAUUCCUCUGUUUCGCAAGGUAUAUAUUGUACUACUAAUUGCAUAGAGUUUUGUAUAAGACUUACAUUUUAG